rnacentral:rRNA from 1 species
UACGUAGGGGGCAAGCGUUGUCCGGAUUUAUUGGGCGUAAAGAGCUCGUAGGCGGUGUGUCGCGUCGGCCGUGAAAACCUGGGGCUCAACUCUGGGCGUGCGGUCGAUACGGGCAUCACUUGAGUUCGGCAGGGGAGACUGGAAUUCCUGGUGUAGCGGUGAAAUGCGCAGAUAUCAGGAGGAACACCGGUGGCGAAGGCGGGUCUCUGGGCCGAUACUGACGCUGAGGAGCGAAAGCAUGGGUAGCGAACAGG